rnacentral:rRNA from 1 species
AGGGCACCACCAGGAGUGGAGCCUGCGGCUUAAUUUGACUCAACACGGGAAAACUUACCCGGCCCGGACACUGGAAGGAUUGACAGAUUGAGAGCUCUUUCUUGAUUCAAUGGGGGGGGGUGCAUGGCCGUUCUUAGUUGGUGGAGCGAUUUGUCUGGUUAAUUCCGAUAACGAACGACACUCUAGCCUACUAAAUAGACUGUUCAGCUUUAUAGCCGGAAUCACCGGGCAUGUAGCUCUCACGGGUUGCGUGUUCGGCUCUGGUGACGUUGGCAGUGCUUCUUAGAGGGACAGGCGGCGGUUCAGCCGCACGAAACAGAGAAAUAACAGGUCUGUGAUGCCCUUAGAUGUCCGGGGCUGCACGCGCGCUACACUGAAGUGAUCAGCGUGCAAUUUACGUUUGGUGAUCUGUCAAGAUUGCCCAACCCGUUGAACCUUCUUCGUGAUUGGGAUAGGGGAUUGUAAUUAUUCCCCUUGAACGAGGAAUUCCCAGUAAGCGCAAGUCAUAAGCUUGCGUUG